UACGUAGGGUGCAAGCGUUAAUCGGAAUUACUGGGCGUAAAGCGUGCGCAGGCGGUUUUGUAAGUCUGUUGUGAAAUCCCCGGGCUUAACCUGGGAACUGCAUUUGUGACUGGCGGACUCGAGUAUGGCAGAGGGGGGUAGAAUUCCACGUGUAGCAGUGAAAUGCGUAGAGAUGUGGAGGAAUACCGAUGGCGAAGGCAGCCCCCUGGGCCAAUACUGACGCUCAUGCA
rnacentral:rRNA from 1 species